rnacentral:rRNA from 1 species
GAUCCUGGGCUCAGGACGAACGCUGGCGGCGUGCCUAAUACAUGCAAGUAGAACGCUGAAGAGAGGAGCUUGCUCUUCUUGGAUGAGUUGCGAACGGGUGAGUAACGCGUAGGUAACCUGCCUUGUAGCGGGGGAUAACUAUUGGAAACGAUAGCUAAUACCGCAUAACAAUGGAUGACACAUGUCAUUUAUUUGAAAGGGACAAUUGCUCCACUACAAGAUGGACCUGCGUUGUA